GACAGAAAUACAUGUAGUUAUUAAGCAUAUAAACAUUCCAAGGAAUUAGAUUUUAUGAAUGUUGCACACUCAAAUUUUCUAUAUACACACUGUGUGGCAUUAAUUGACGAUUCAGUAUCUCAUUUUUCAGCGUAUUAUUAAAAUAUAAGCGAUGCAUUACUGUCAUCAUUAUAUUGAAGUAGAGACAUAAGCAUCCCGUUUAACCAGCGCCUUGCCACAAUGGAGUCUAGACCGCACACUACAAUAUGGAAUUGACGAUAAAAUCCUUCAUCCAUAUCUUGAAUGGAACAGUGAUGGGCCACUGCUUCACAACCUGGCACUCUAGAAGUAAUAGAUCAUGAGAUUAUAGAAAUAUUUUACAUAUAUUUUAUAUGGAAUAAAAUGAAAGAAAGUACAA